GAGGGGUUUAUAAGACCUGCUAACUCUUUAAUCUGGGAU
rnacentral:tRNA from 1 species